rnacentral:tRNA from 1 species
AGUGAUUGCUCAGCUGGUAAAGCGUCUGCCCGGUAAGCGGAAUGUCGAUGGUUCGUUUCCGCCUUGCCACUU